CUUCCAUACAAUUGCUUUGACUGAUACAAGUGCAGCAGAUAAUGAUGUCAUUCUGUAAACUUUCUGGACUUCCAUACAAUUAAUUUUACUGAUAUCAAUGUCACUCCUUUUCAUUCCUUUUGUGAACUUGCUGGACUUCCAUACAGCAGAUUUAAGUUCUGUUAAUGUAUUGCUUGAACCCUAAAUGUUUCGCCGAGUCAAAGAGUGAUAGCCUCGAGUGGGUGUCUAUAUCUACUUGUGAUUGUAUUGACUUAUAAAUGAAUGUUAUGUUUUCUUCCUAUUUGAUGCUUAAGAUGGUGAGAAGCUUUUUUUGAUGGAAAUGCUUCAAUCUUUUGAUAUCCUGAUGACAAAUUGUCAAAACUUCAUAACAGCAUAAUAAUGAGAUGA